CUAUAGCAUCGGGCAACUGACUUAAGGCUUCUACCCACUAGCUCCCGAACACAUAAUCAGUAGGCAAGCUACAGGACUAGAGCCAGAGAAAAGCUACUACUGCAUCCCUUUCUUUUUCAUCUUACUGACCUGUGGAAUUCCGAGUUGCAUCCGUUCUCCUAUAUGAAGUUCUAUUGGUUUCCGCUACUUAGUCGGUAUAGGAGAAAUUCCAGUGGUUUUUCGAUUAAUUUAGCUAUUCCUAAGGUUAUAAGUCUACUCACAACUCCUGGGCUAUCCGAACUCGCCUCAAAGCCUUGACUUGAUUCUUCUGAAGCACUACUUGGCCGACCUCUUUUCCUGGGUUACUUAUUUCUAGAAUACCUAGCUCAUGAUUCUGUUUCAAACUAUGUUGUUUCUCUCUUUCUAAACAUUAUCCUUAAUAAGAGAACUUUCUAAACAUUCUACUCCAACAAAGGAUUACACUCGGGAUUAACCUAUCAAUCUGGUCUUCAUGAAAGAACCAGACCACUCCCAAUCAAGGUCUUCAUGAGAGAAUUCCACAAGUGUAAGUCAACCUCUAAGUAAACCUCGGAUCCCGCUCUUGCUCUGUGAACUGAACCGCUGAACUAGACUUGAGAUCUUUAGGUUGAUACCAGAAUUAGGCUAAUCUAACUCUUUCUGUUCUCUCCUCUUCUCUUGCUACUACUACUGUGCAUUCGACUCCUCUGUUUUCUAUCUUCAUUCUUAUCCUAGCACUCCCGGCUCUUACUCCUAUACGAAUCUACCUCUCCUCUUGCUACACUUAUUGUCUUCCCCGACCUAAACUAUGGCUCUGUAAACUAAGUCAGUAACCCAGCCUCAAAAGUCAGUCAACGGGUUUAGCCACUAAGUCACUACUAGCAGCCUAUCACCACAGGGUCUUAUUCUUGAUCCGCCGGUUCCGUAUGAAAAAACUGCCCCAAAGUACUAUGUUCGAUCGUUAGCCUGCUCUCAGUUUCACCACCCUUGCUCUUUAGGUCUUAGUUUGCUGUUUAUCAGCCUUAGUUUGCUGUUUAUCAGCGCUUCUCGGCUCUCAAAUUGCCACUACUUUAUCUCAUUAUGAAACUGACUUAUCUCACUCCGAUACUAUCGAAUCUCAAUCUGAUUCCGCUGUGAAAAGGGAUACAACCCAUGUAAACAAGGCGAUUGCUCUAACACAGGCAAUGACACUCAAAAAGGGAAUUCACUAUUGAACUAAAAGACUGGAACCAAGCCAUAAAGAAUAUAAGUAGUGAGUGGCGCUUACUUCAAGGCUGCCUUUCCCUGCCCUUACUUCCGGCAUACUAACUCUUGUCCUAAACUCUAUGAAACUAAUAGUUGGCUCUUAAACUCAUAGCUGGCUCACGAACACAGGAACUUUCCCACUUGCUACUUAGUUGGAUUCUGUAACCCUACCCCAGCUAGUCCAUUCCGAGUCUACUUAGUUUGAUUCUUGACUUCAGUACUUAUUGUCUCCCUUGAUGACCCAAUUGCUGCUGGCUUGGCUUCAAUCCUAUCUUACUAAACUACACUUUCCACUUUACCUCGAACUACACUUUCAUAGCUUCCCUUGCCCACCUCGACAUUCCUUCCCACGCCAACACAAGACCAGACUUUCCUUGAGAUCUGUAGUUUUAUACCAGAAUGAGGCUCAUCUACUUCCCCGACUUAAUCUAAGGGCUUCAAAACCAGAUGAAACAGCCCCUCAAUCUAGGGCUACUACUACUGAUUCACAACAGGACUACUAUACUACUUGCUAUCAAAAACCCCGGAAACAAGGCUCCCAUUCCCACUCCGCAUCUAGUAAUAGAACCAGUUGGAUUCUUUGACUACUUGGUUCAACUCUUAGUCUUACUUACCCGGUUUCAUUCUUAUAUUAACUACUGAGCAGCUUUCUCAUCUAACUCGGGCAACUAAUCAAGAUUCGACUGGACCACACCACUACUAUAGGUGGACUUACUCACUGACUUAAGGCUUCGACUUACUUGCUUUCAUUCUUUCACUCACUAGCUCCACUCUUGGACUACCAAGUUGGAUUGGAUUCUCACUUCCCUACUAGCUCACCUCCUUUUAAGUAGGAGUAGUGGCAUUGUGGCAACUGAGUUAAGGUUGGCAGGCAGUGGUUUCAUCCUGAUACUGCUUAGUUGCAUUCUGUGACCCGAAGCAGGGAAUCAGUGGGAGUUCCGGUAAUAGGGAAUAGGAUUUGGAAGUGGACUUCAGGUCAUACCCCUUAGGAAUACUAGAAGAAGAUGUGGAUUUCAAGUCAUAGGGAAGGUUGCUUAGGCCUUGUAGCUUAUAGGUUGCUAAGGAGUCAAAUCAAUACUUUCAUUCUUGCCCUGUUGCUAAGGAGUCGUGAGUUCAAAAGUUCACUGUGAUACUGGACCUCAUAAGAUGAAGCUGGCACUUGACCUUUCACUUCACCUUUCAUUGCUUGGCUCUUCUAUAGUUUUCUACCAUAUACUUACUUAUCAAAGAAUCUUAUCUGCUCGAUCGUACCUGCUUAUGUCUUACUUGAUAGUAGAAUUCUCACUUUCAUCUAAGAGCAGCACAAACAAGCUGCCUUAAUAAGUGGGGCUCCUACUAACGACUAAGAAGAGAAGAUAAAGCAUCCGAUGUAGAGCAACUGUCUUACAUCCUCCGUGCUAAGGUAGUUGACAUCUAAAUCAUUCCUUGUUUACCCUUAAACUCGUAUUGGCCCCGUAGUUGACAUCUAAAUCAUUCCUUGUUUACCCUUAAACUCGUAUUGGCCCACCAGUUGCAUAUGCCUUUGUAGGAAGAGGAGAAGCAGAGAAACCGGCAAUUACAAGUAUUGAGUUGGCAAAGGCAAAGAGAGGACAACUGAUAAAGCAGAGGCAGAGGCCAGUAACCUUAAGAACAGGGGCGGAGUCAAGUAAAGGCUUUUCAGCAUGGGGAGUUUCUAAUUACCUGGAAAGCAGGGUUCCACAGUUUCUAUAUUCUCUUUAUAAAGAGAUCAAUGAAUUCUAUCUUUCUAGUUGUUUCAAUAGCUGGUUUGGAAGCUUGAUUAGGUGAGGAAGAAGUCCGAGUUUGUCUACUUAAGGUAAAGCUCACUGCCGCUAUUAAUUAGAAGAAUAGAAUGGAAUGGAAUUAGUUGACUACGGUAGAGUAGAUGAAUGAAGUUAUGGCUUUUGUUAGCAGAGGAUAGGUAGGCGCUUAAAUACCUUACUUGAAUUGGUCACUCUUUCACUCUUUCACUCCUGUGUAAUUGAUAACUCUAAGAAUUAAUACAUGUGGAUCUGGCUCUGCUCUAACUGCUUACUUUAGCCCGAGAUACCCGCUUGCACCAACACGGGAACUGAACCUUUCAGAAGUAACCAAGUAAUUGAGUUCGGGCAAGUUCCAGAAGUUUUCCUCUACUUCUACCUAAUAAGGGGGAAUGCACUAGCCUAUGUAUUAUGGCCCUCCUUCAACUAGUGGUAGUCCAGGUUUACAGCCCAAAGAGGGGAGGCACCUAUCAAAUUAUAUAUGAUCUUUAGAAAGAAUAACUGAUUCCACCGCUUAUGAGGAAUUCACCAGUAAAGGCCUAACUGCCGAUUCUCUCGCUCAGUACUUAAUUCAUUCCCUUCACCCUGCAACAAUACCAUCGAGAAAUCGAGACCUGACGCGCAACGAGUUCACUGACGCAUGAAUUAAGGACUAGUAUAAGCUUGUCUGCUUGUCUGGUUGGUUACUUCUUUCUAGAAUAUCUAUCUCCCAUUCAAGUACUCUCUCAUAGACUCCCAUUCAAGUACUCUCUCAUAGAACUUUGGCCAAGAACCUCUCCGCCAAUUACCUCUCCGUCAAGAAAAGAACUAGCAGGCAAAGCUCCAACUCAAGAAUGGGAAUGAAAUCCUGCGUACCGAGCACCAGAUAUAGAACGAUGUUACCUAACUGCUUCCCUUGUAAACCCGACACCCAUAAUAAGUCCCCGAGCUCCACUCAGUUAGUGCUUCUGCCUAGCCUCAAAGCCGAUACUU
rnacentral:lncRNA from 1 species